UACGGAGGGGGCAAGCGUUGUUCGGAAUUACUGGGCGUAAAGGGCGCGUAGGCGGCUGCUCAAGUCAGGCGUGAAAGGCCUGGGCUCAACCCGGGAAUUGCGCUUGAGACUGGGCUGGCUUGAGUGCGGGAGAGGAUGGUGGAAUUCCCAGUGUAGAGGUGAAAUUCGUAGAUAUCAGGAGGAACACCGGUGGCGAAGGCGGCCUUCUGGACAGUGACUGACGCUGAGACGCGAAAGCGUGGGGAGCAAACAGG
rnacentral:rRNA from 1 species